GACAGAGGUUGCAAGCGUUGUUCGGAAUUACUGGGCAUAAAGCGCACGUAGGCGGUCCGCUAAGUCAUGCGUGAAAUCCCCCGGCUCAACCGGGGAAUGGCGCCUGAUACUGGCGGGCUUGAGAUCGGUAGGGGUGAGUGGAACUCCAGGUGUAGCGGUGAAAUGCGUAGAUAUUGGGAGGAACACCAGUGGCGAAGGCGGCUCACUGGACCGGUACUGACGCUGAUGCGCGAAAGCGUGGGGAGCAAACGGG
rnacentral:rRNA from 1 species